AGCGAAGCGCUUCGUUUUGAAUCUUCGGAGGAAUAACGGAAUGACUGAGCGGCGGACGGGUGAGUAACGCGUGGGCAACCUGCCUCAUACAGGGGGAUAACAGUUAGAAAUGACUGCUAAUACCGCAUAAGACCGCGGUACCGCAUGGUACAGCGGUAAAAACUCCGGUGGUAUGAGAUGGGCCCGCGUCUGAUUAGCUAGUUGGCGGGGUAACGGCCCACCAAGGCGACGAUCAGUAGCCGACCUGAGAGGGUGACCGGCCACAUUGGGACUGAGACACGGCCCAAACUCCUACGGGAGGCAGCAGUGGGGAAUAUUGCACAAUGGGGGAAACCCUGAUGCAGCGACGCCGCGUGAGCGAUGAAGUAUUUCGGUAUGUAAAGCUCUAUCAGCAGGGAAGAAGAUGACGGUACCUGACUAAGAAGCCCCGGCUAACUACGUGCCAGCAGCCGCGGUAAUACGUAGGGGGCAAGCGUUAUCCGGAUUUACUGGGUGUAAAGGGAGCGUAGACGGCGGUGCAAGCCAGAUGUGAAAGCCCGGGGCUCAACCCCGGGACUGCAUUUGGAACUGUAUGGCUGGAGUGUCGGAGAGGCA
rnacentral:rRNA from 1 species